rnacentral:rRNA from 1 species
AUUGAACGCUGGCGGCAUGCUUUACACAUGCAAGUCGAGCGGCAGCGCGGGGGCAACCCUGGCGGCGAGCGGCGAACGGGUGAGUAAUGCAUCGGAACGUAUCCUCGAGUGGGGGAUAACCCAGCGAAAGUUGGGCUAAUACCGCAUGAGCUCUGAGGAGGAAAGCGGGGGACCUGCGAGGGCCUCGCGCUGGAGGAGCGGCCGAUGUCCGAUUAGCUAGUUGGUGGGGUAAAGGCUUACCAAGGCGACGAUCGGUAGCUGGUCUGAGAGGAUGAUCAGCCACACUGGGACUGAGACACGGCCCAGACUCCUACGGGAGGCAGCAGUGGGGAAUUUUGGACAAUGGGGGCAACCCUGAUCCAGCCAUGCCGCGUGAGUGAAGAAGGCCUUCGGGUUGUAAAGCUCUUUCGGACGGAACGAAAUGGGCGGGACUAAUACCCCUGUCUGAUGACGGUACCGUAAGAAGAAGCACCGGCUAACUACGU